CGCCCUGAUACUGAUGUUUGCAGCAUAUUACUGCCUCAACAUCAGUUAUCGCUCAGAACUGGGAGCUACCCUGGAGUUCUUGCAGAGGUGCCUAUUCAAGAUCAAUCCGGACAAUGGGACUAGAGUGGAGAGGAAGGAAUACAAACAAAAACAGCACUCGAUAAAGAUAAAGAUUUCAUGAAGUUUGCUGACGACCCG